UAGCACUUGAACGUUACCAAUGUUGUUAUUUUUUGAACACCUUAAAUAUUUCAAGUUGGAAAACUUACCUCUAGAUUAAUAGUAAAUACAUGAACCUGAAAAUAUAAACAUUUUUAAAAAAAUUGAAUAAACAGUAAAAUGAAGAUGCCAUAUGCUUAUAUAGUUUCGAAAUGAUCGAUUUUUUUAAUGGAAUGUUUUGAAAUGAAGCUGUAAAGGACAUAAAAGGCCAAAAGCUUUAGAGUACCUUAAAGAAUUUAGUGUCCUCACAGCAAAAAUGUUUUAAAAACUCUUCAAAACGCUUUAUUAUCUAACUAAAUAUUUGACCGUUUAAAGCUGAAUAUAUUUUAAUUCAUUUUUCUACUCAGAAUGGGAUGGAUACAUACUUUAUCAGGCCUUACUUCCAUGGGUAUCCAUUGGAUCAAGGAGGUCAUGUCUCUAGGAAAUAUACGAUCCCUCAAAUGGUUUAAAAAAAAUUGUGUAUAUAUUACUUUUAUGUAAAAUAAAAAUUAAUAAUAAAUACAUACGUCUUACCUACAAUAUUAUUGUA